rnacentral:lncRNA from 1 species
UCUUUCUUUCCUUGCAUUGAAAGAUAUGGAUAUUGUUGGGAGAAAGAGAAGGUGUUUCUGUUCCACUCUACAUCUUCUUCUUCUGACUUUCUUCAUUGCCAUACUUCUACAAAGAGGUACUGUGGCUGAAUCAUCCAGCAUCCAAAACUACACAAGGUAUAGACAAAUUAGUAGCUUGAGGCUUGAAAGGAUUAAUAAGCACUUGGAAAAGAUUAACAAGCCUCCUGUUCUCACCAUUGAGGUAAUGUUAUUUAUUGCCAUUAAUUAAUGUUUCAAAUAAUGUGUGUUUGUUUGUGUAUGUGAUAGUGGUUGAGAUUUUAAUGAUCAUGCACACAAAAUAAAAUGUUCUACUUUUCCUUCAUUUUUUUUGUUAAUAAGGUUUUUUUAAUUAUCUUUUCUUGGUUGGUAUUAUUAAUUUCAGAGCCCAGAUGGAGAUCUUAUAGAUUGUGUCCACAAAAGAAAACAACUAGCUUUGGAUCACCCACUUUUAAAGAAUCACAAGAUCCAGGUACAACUAUUGGAAAGUUGACUAUUGAAUAUGAUUUGAUAAUUAAUGUAAUAUUACUAGUUUUUUUUUUUGUGUUUAACAUGUCUUUAUAAAAUGGACUUGUUAAAUAAAGAAGGUCAAUGUUUAUAAACUUUUUAAACUUUAUAUCUUCUAAAUGUAUGACUUGAUUUUUUUUUUUCAACACAGAAAGUACCAAGUGAAAUGCCAAGAGGUAUGAAAAUGGAGAGAGAUGAGAAUGUUGAUAGUGAUAAUAUUACUAAGACUAAUGUGGAAGUGGGAAAAGGAAAAGAGGGGGUAAGAAACAACGCAUGGCAAAUGUGGCAUCGAAAUGGGACAAGGUGUCCAAAGGGAACGGUUCCUAUGCGGAGGAGUACAGUACAUGAUGUGUUGAGAGCAAAAUCUUUGUAUGAUUAUGGUAAGAAACGAACACAAAUUCCACUCUCUCGGAGCAGUGAUGCACCUGAUGUAUUCUCUGGCAAUGGUCAUGAGGUAUGUAUAUAUGUGGUUACCUACAAUGAUCUUACUAUUAUUACAUGGCUAUAUACUUUGAUG